AAUAAGCGGAGGAAAAGAAACCAACAGGGAUUGCCCUAGUAACGGCGAGUGAAGCGGCAAUAGCUCAAAUUUGAAAUCUGCCCUCGGGCCGAGUUGUAAUUUGCAGAGGAUGCUUUUGGCGCGGUGCCCCCUGAGUCCCCUGGAACGGGGCGCCAGAGAGGGUGAGAGCCCCGUACAGUUGGACGCCAAGCCAGUGUAAAGCUCCUUCAACGAGUCGAGUAGUUUGGGAAUGCUGCUCAAAACGGGAGGUAAAUUCCUUCUAAAGCUAAAUACCUGCCAGAGACCGAUAGCGCACAAGUAGAGUGAUCGAAAGAUGAAAAGCACUUUGAAAAGAGAGUUAAACAGCACGUGAAAUUGUUGAAAGGGAAGCGCCUAUGACCAGACUUGCGCCGGGUCGAUCUCCCGCCGUUCUCGGCGGUGUACUCGGCCCGGUUCAGGCCAGCAUCGGUUUCCGCAGGGGGAUAAAAGCUCCGGGAAUGUGACUCCCCCGGGAGUGUUAUAGCCCGGGGCAUAAUACCCCUGCUGGGACCGAGGACCGCGCCCCGCGAGGAUGCUGGCGUAAUGGUCAUCAGCGACCCGUCUUGAAACACGGACA
rnacentral:rRNA from 1 species